UGGGGAAUUUUGCACAAUGGGGGAAACCCUGAUGCAGCGACGCCGCGUGAUUUAGAAGGCCUUCGGGUUGUAAAAAUCUUUUCUAUGGGAAGAAAAUGACAGUACCAUAGGAAUAAGGACCGGCUAAUUACGUGCCAGCAGCCGCGGUAAUACGUAAGGUCCGAGCGUUGUCCGGAAUCAUUGGGCGUAAAGGGUACGCAGGCGGUUUAAUAAGUCGAAUGUUAAAGAUCGGGGCUCAACCCCGUAAAGCAUUGGAAACUGAUAAACUUGAGUAGUGGAGAGGAAAGUGGAAUUCCUAGUGUAGUGGUGAAAUACGUAGAUAUUAGGAGGAAUACCAGUAGCGAAGGCGACUUUCUGGACACAAACUGACGCUGAGGUACGAAAGCGUGGGGAGCAAACAGG
rnacentral:rRNA from 1 species